GCUUCAUCUUCUACUUGGUGGACUACAAGCCCCUCAGGUUUAAAUGGUGGUACGUGUAGCCAGACUGGGCCUUUGCACUGGGCUGGGCCAUGGCCCUCUCCUCCAACCUCCUGGUGCCACUGUGAUCGAUUGGCAGGAUCUAUGUUGGCACAGGCCGCCUCAGGCAGAUUUAGGAUACUACUGAGGAGAUUACCAUUGUGGGAGCCAGGAGGAGGAAAGCCAAGAGGACAAUUCAGACCCAGAGCUGAGGUGGCUCCAAAAAACCCAGCAACUCAAGGACAAGAAAAUGAGACGACAGAAGCUGUAUUCAAAUGUGAUCCGCCCUGGAGUAUGCCAGGUGCAUCCUGCGGCCCAAGGUGGCGCCCCUGCCUCAGCAGACCAAGACCAGACAGCCAGAGUGGGCCCAGGGGCCACACUCGCCUCCUGGAGGGCUUCGACAUAUCCCAGCUGGCCACACUGGAGGCCCUGAGGAAACGGCGAGAGCAGGAGAAACAGACCGUGGCCCACUUCAAGAAAUCCAGUUAAUUGAAGGAGUCUCUCACCACCACACAUGAAGGGGGCUAAAUUAGCAUCCCUUUCUGCCGAUUGGAAUAGCCGGGGCAGACGCGCACGCUUUGAUGUGAGGACAGCGCCUAAGUAGGCGGCAGGCCCCUGAAAAUGAGCUGAUGGCCCCACUAUUAGGCCCAAAUGCAGAUGCAUCCAUGUGUUGCAAAACGCUUAAUCUUUUAAUUGAUCACCUUCCGCACAGCCUAUUCUCUUCAACGCUUUUUAUUUUCUCAGUAAAUCUGCAUCACGUUUUGAAAACGACAUGAUUUGCUUUUCAAAGGGCGGGAGAGUGCUACAUAUCCUGUUUGGAUGAGCCUGUUAAUGUAAACCUUCUAAAUUGAUGGGGAGCUGCCUCAUGGUGCACAUUUAAAUGACUGAAUAAAUUAAAUAAUAGCUGGUAUUGAUGAUUUUGGCCUGUGCGCGUGUGUGUGCGUACGUGUGUGUGGGUAUGGUGUGAAUGCAUGUGUGUGUGAGUACACAUGUGCAUGCUUUUAAAGGCUAAGGCCCAGAAGGCUAACUGCAAGUGUGACUGCAACUGCAAGUGUGGGUAUAGAUGUGGGUACAUAGACCCGCUAGACACUGCGGCCCCUCAUGAUAAGUUCUGAUUUUUUGUGGCCAUCAAAGUUGCCCAUGCCUGCUAUAGAUGAUCACAGUUCACUAAUUGAGCUAUGACCGAUGACAAUUGAAGUUCCAUAACAUUCUGAUCAAACCAAUGUGUUCCCAGUGGUACCCUGAGCAGUGCUCUGGCCAGGUUCUCCAUGAUUAGGUUUUUGGUCUCAGGGAUAACCUCUAUGGAUUGGAAUCCACCCACUCACUCUUGUUACACUACUACUUUGGGUGUGCCAGGUCAUCUAGAGGUUAGAGAGGCGGUCCAGCAGCCGGAGGGUUGCCAGUUCGAAUCCCAAGUCUGAUAGGAAAAUCUUGUGGCAAGUGGCAUGCCAUCUCCUGCCAUUGCACCCUUGAGCAAAGCACUUAACCCAUAAUCUGCCCCAGGGGCAGACCCUGGCAUGCAACUCCUUGGUGUGUGUGUGUAGGUGUUUGUGCUUCUCUGGGGUUUGGGUUAAAAGGCAAAUUGUCUGAAAAUAAAAUGGAUAAGAAAGUAUGUUUCUACUAGAGAUGAUACCUAAAGAAAAAUGUAUCACUCAUUGCCAUAGCAGAAGAAAUUAGCGUAGUUACUCAAAUGGAAACCAUUAUAUUUCUAUGUUUACUCACCUGUAGGCCUAAAGGGUAGCGUUUGCAUGCUACUGGUGAGUGUUAUCUAAGGUGAGUAUCUUCUAAGAAUGUGUACAAACAACAAACCAAUUCAAUGGGCCAAAGGCCCUACUGAUCCUUACCAUAUUCAGAGAAAAUGAAAAAUGGGUGUGUUACGAAGGAGUUACUUUCACCAAGACAUGGACAUUAUUUUCAAUAUUGUGAUUUAAACUCCCAUCAAUUACUGUUGUGUUUUGAUUAAAACAUGCUAUGCGUUA
rnacentral:lncRNA from 1 species